CCCCUAGUCGGAAGUCGAACAUUGCUACUGGUGAGCGUGCCAUAGGGGAGGGCGGCCAGCUGUUACCACCUGGGCCGCGAGCUUGCAGGUGGAGGGUUCCCUUCAGCCAUGAGGUGAUAUCGACUAAUGUCAGUGUUAUCUUCCGGGACCAGUUCGAUCACAUGGUGGAGGGGGAGUUCAUAUGGGAGCCUUACGGGACGGAGGAUGACGUCAUGACCAGCUUCCCAUCGUAUUGUACCGUUGGUCGAGAUAUAUGGAUGGCGCGAGUGCCACUUAUAUGCUUCGAUAUCAUUGACUAGCAUCUCCCCGACCGGGUGCUUAGACAAUUUGGACGAGUUCAGAGUGUGCCUAAUCGCUUUGACGCCCACUUGGCUAUGCAUUUUAGAGAUAGGCGUGGCAAAAUGGCCAUUGAUUGGGCAAAGGAAUACCAAACAUUUAUUGGUGAGUGGAACAACCGACGCAACACCAUUGUCCAUGCUGAGAGGAGCAAUGAAGUGCUUACAUCUUCGGACCCAUACAUGUUAUGGUUUCGCCGUCAUACACGUCUAGUACUUAGUAAUCCGAGUGACAUUGCUGCCUUCGGAUACCAAGGCGUCGGGGGUAGUUUAGAGGGAUUGGUUCGUAGAGUUGCGGGGGCAUAUCACAUGGCAG